rnacentral:lncRNA from 1 species
UGGCACUAUGAGAAGAUGAUUUAUUUUCUUUAAUUUUUAAGAUAAUUUUUUGAUAUAACGAAUUUUGUUUCACCGUGUAGGCAUGGACAUAGUCAAAUUGGCUAGAACGAAUAUACACCUCAAUCCUUCCUCCAAGUUUAAAUUCGCUAUUUCAGAUUAGUUUAAAAUAAAACAGGAUUAGUUUAAAAUAAAACAAGAUUUGCUAAAUCCAUUCUCGUCAAUGCUAAAUUCAACAAGCACAUGGAUCCAAUACAUUCCAAACAUAUGUGUUCAGUUUGGCCCAAUUAAAGUUUUCAAUUUGGGCCUAUAUAGUAGUUGUGAGAGGAGCGAAUGUCACACACUUUUUUGGCAGCUCAUUUUAGGGUCGGUUUGGUUUUAUUUGGAUCGGUAUUCUUCAAACUCAAAAACCAAACCAACACUACCGUUCGGUUUAUUUUCAUUUAUUUGAUUGGGUUCUAAUUUUUUUUUUGUUAAUUUUAAUUUAGCAAAUGAGAGAUAGAUUAAGAGCUCUUUC